AUUUGGCACAGAAGCAUGGUAUCUCAUGUGACCCACCACAGGAGUUAAAAGGCAAAGUUUUCAUACAGGAUGGACUAGUAAUCUGCAAUAAGAAGAGAAAAGAGGUAAGAGGAUAUAAAAAAAUGCCAGUGCAACUAUGCAGUAAAAGAUUUGAUUAGUUUAUACUGUUGGCAUCUCCAUUUCUAAUAUACAUCUUUUUCAGGAAGCGGAAAAAGCAUCUGGAAAACAUAAAAAGAAAAAAGUGGAAGGUGUGGUAGUUGGCGCUACAAACAUGGAAAAAAAGGGUAAAAGUGGUACUAGUAGGUUUCAGCUAUUAUGUUGCCAGUUCAAAUUUUGUCUUCUGCUUCUGUAUUGUUAUAUUCUUCUCUGCCUAAGCUUUUUGGUCUGAGCAUUGUUUAAUUCAUCCUGUGUUCUUCUAUUGUGCUAGGGAGUUGCUAAUCUUGCUUCUCCCAAACACCUUGUAGGGUCAUGAAUCUCUAAUAAAUGGUUAUUUGAUGUAUUUACUACAUUUGAAUUUGCAGAAGAUGAUCAACCUAUGCAAGAUCCCAUAAGAUAUCCCAUUGAUGAUCUGUUGGUGCAGCCUGCGGCAGAUGAUCCAGUCUUCACUGACCGUCCUUCACCUUCAAGGGACUUUAAUAUUCAGAUGGAUUGUGUUGUUGAUCUUUUAAUGGUUUGG
rnacentral:lncRNA from 1 species